UCGGAAUUACUGGGCGUAAAGCGUGCGCAGGCGGUUCGGAAAGAAAGAUAUGAAAUCCCAGGGCUCAACCUUGGAACUGCAUUUUUAACUACCGAACUAGAGUAUGUCAGAGGGGGGUGGAAUUCCACGUGUAGCAGUGAAAUGCGUAGAUAUGUGGAGGAACACCGAUGGCGAAGGCAGCCCCUGGGAUAAUACUGACGCUCAUGCACGAAAGCGUGGGGAGCAAACAGGAUUAGAUACCCUGGUAGUCCACGCCCUAAACGAUGUCAACUAGCUGUUGGCUUCGGGGCUUAGUAGCGCACUGAACGCGUGAAGUUGACNGCCUGGGGAGUACGGUCGCAAGAUUAAAACUCAAAGGAAUUGACGG
rnacentral:rRNA from 1 species